rnacentral:rRNA from 1 species
GAUGAACGCUGACAGAAUGCUUAACACAUGCAAGUCAACUGUGGCGGACGGGUGAGUAACGCGUAAAGAACUUGCCUCACGGAUAGGGACAACAUUUGGAAACGAAUGCUAAUAACUAAUACUGUGAGAGAGCUUUGCGUCCCAUUAGCUAGUUGGAGAGGUAACGGCUCACCAAGGAGAUGAUGGGUAGCCGGCCUGAGAGGGUGAUCGGCCACAAGGGGACUGGGACACGGCCCUUACUCAUACGGGAGGCAGGAGUGGGGAAUAUUGGACAAUGGACAAAAGUCUGAUCAAGCAAUUCUGUGUGCAAGAUGAAGUUUUCGGAAUGUAAAGUGCUUUCAGUUGGGAAGCGGUACCAACAGAAGAAGUGACGGCUAACUACGUGCCAGCCGCCGCGGUAAUAC